rnacentral:lncRNA from 1 species
GUCUUAUCCGAGACCACCGAUCGCAUCGCCCCCAUUGUCGGCUACUUUCCCUCCGGCUACGACCCCCACAACGCCGCUUCCGCCGCCGCCGGCGGGCCCUCUGUCAGGGUGUUCCGGAACCAGAUGUAUUCCAGCCGCCUGGAGCUUGUCGUGAGCCCCCGGGACUCCAACGUCGAGUUCGUCGGGACCAGCUACUCUGGCGAGGCAGCGGGACCCCAGCUCUGCACGUACACCCUCGGGGUCCUCGACAAGGAGACGCACACCCUCAAGAUCGUGCCCAUCGCAGCCAACAAGGUUGCGUCUUUUUGGAUCAUUUACUCAGAUAGUGGAGAUAUAAAGUUGAGAUUUCCUUUGUUUAUGUUAACGAUUUGUUGCCUUAGUGGUUUUUAAAACAACGAAAUUUGAUGUGUUCGGGUUUUCUGCUCAUGUUUAAGUGAACUUGUCGAAAUAAUAUGCAUGGAUAAAAUGUAAUCAAUUUCAUCAGUUUUAACAAAUUAAAAAAUAAGCAUUUUGGCAACUUGUGUAUGAUUCAAAAUUUUCUUUGGUUUGCUUCUGUUGAUGAGCUUGGGUUCUUUUGUACUUUGAGAUAAAAUGUAAUCAUUUUUCUAGUUUUUGCUUGGGUUUUGAGCUUUUUCACUCUCACAAGGUUAUUUGUGGAAUAGCAGUAUAACCUGAUAUCAAUGUCAUUUGCACAUAACCAGUUUGUUUGCACAAACUUCCUGCACUGGUCAAAAUUGAUAUAUUAACAUUGCAGUAUUUAAAAGUAUCAAGGAUCAAACAAUGAGUCGAGCAAAACUUAAGUGCUUUCAAAAGGGAACAUAUCUUUUCCUUUAUGUGAAAUAAACUGAACCAUGACAGUGCUGCUUUAAUUUCCAUGUUCUUCUUAGUCUGUGUAAAGAGUUAUGUAGUUUUCAUAUCUUGUUAUCUUUGUAGCUAUUGAGCCCUGAUUUAAGAGAUCAAUGCAGAUCUUCAGGUUGGAACCACGGCUGACAAAGAACCUAUCCACUGAUA